UACAGAGGUCUCAAGCGUUGUUCGGAUUCAUUGGGCGUAAAGGGCUCGUAGGCGGCGUGUCGCGUCGGGAGUGAAAGACCGGGGCUUAACCCCGGUUCUGCUUCCGGUACGGGCAUGCUGGAGUGUGGCAGGGGAGACUGGAAUUCCUGGUGUAGCGGUGGAAUGCGCAGAUAUCAGGAGGAACACCGGUGGCGAAGGCGGGUCUCUGGGCCAUUACUGACGCUGAGGAGCGAAAGCGUGGGGAGCGAACAGG
rnacentral:rRNA from 1 species